GCCGGAGGGAAACCGAGUCUUAAUUGGGCGUUAAGUUGCAGGGUAUAGACCCGAAACCCGGUGAUCUAGCCAUGGGCAGGUUGAAGGUUGGGUAACACUAACUGGAGGACCGAACCGACUAAUGUUGAAAAAUUAGCGGAUGACCUGUGGCUGGGGGUGAAAGGCCAAUCAAACCGGGAGAUAGCUGGUUCUCCCCGAAAGCUAUUUAGGUAGCGCCUCGUGAAUUCAUCUCCGGGGGUAGAGCACUGUUUCGGCUAGGGGGCCAUCCCGGCUUACCAACCCGAUGCAAACUGCGAAUACCGGAGAAUGUUAUCACGGGAGACACACGGCGGGUGCUAACGUCCGUCGUGAAGAGGGAAACAACCCAGACCGCCAGCUAAGGUCCCAAAGUCAUGGUUAAGUGGGAAACGAUGUGGGAAGGCCCAGACAGCCAGGAUGUUGGCUUAGAAGCAGCCAUCAUUUAAAGAAAGCGUAAUAGCUCACUGGUCGAGUCGGCCUGCGCGGAAGAUGUAACGGGGCUAAACCAUGCACCGAAGCUGCGGCAGCGACGCUUAUGCGUUGUUGGGUAGGGGAGCGUUCUGUAAGCCUGUGAAGGUGGCCUGUGAGGGUUGCUGGAGGUAU
rnacentral:rRNA from 1 species